rnacentral:tRNA from 1 species
GCGGAAGUAGUUCAGUGGUAGAAUGUCUCCUUGCCAAGGAGAAGGUCGCGGGUUCGAACCCCGUCUUCCGCU